AAUAAAUUGAAGAUCUCAGAAGAUGGAGAGAUCUCUCAUACAGAUGAAUUGGCAGGAUUAAUAUUGUAAAAAUGGCCAUCUUGCCAAAAGCAAUCUACAGAUUCAAUGCAAUCCUCAUCAAAAUUCUAACUCAAUUCUUCAGAGAGUUAGAAAGAGCGAUUUGCAAAUUCAUUUGGAAUAACAAAAAAUCCAGCGUAGAGAAAACUAUCUUCAACAAUAAAAGGAAUUCUGGUGGUCUCACCAUCCCUGAUCUCAAGCUGUAUUACAGAGCAACAGUGAUAAAAAAAAAGUAUGG
rnacentral:lncRNA from 1 species